rnacentral:rRNA from 1 species
UACGUAGGGCGCAAGCGUUGUCCGGAAUUAUUGGGCGUAAAGAGCUCGUAGGCGGUCUGUUGCGUCUGCCGUGAAAACCCGAGGCUUAACCUCGGGCCUGCGGUGGAUACGGGCAGACUAGAGGUAGGUAGGGGAGAAUGGAAUUCCCGGUGUAGCGGUGAAAUGCGCAGAUAUCGGGAGGAACACCGGUGGCGAAGGCGGUUCUCUGGGCCUUACCUGACGCUGAGGAGCGAAAGCGUGGGGAGCAAACAGG